UGCCCCACUCCCACUAUCAUUUUCCAUGUUCAAUGGACCGUGAAAUUGGUUAAAAAAUAUAAUUAGGCAUUAAAAUUAGAAAAGAUAAUAUCAUAGGGAACAUUUGUACUAAGUUUCAAGUUGAUUGGACUUCAACUUCAUCAAAAACUACCUUGACCAAAAACUUUAACCUGAAACAUGCACUUUCAUUUUCUAUGUUCAG
rnacentral:lncRNA from 1 species